rnacentral:lncRNA from 1 species
CUUUUUAAAAAAAUUAUAGCUUCACUGGGUAUCAGGGCUUAGAUGAAAAACACGGGUCAACCAUCACCAGCCACUCAUCUACUCUUCUCUUUGUGAUUAUCCUGUGUAGGCGAUUCUAAAUUUAUCUCAAGAUCAGGAUUAAGCAGAAAAAAAAAAAAAAAAAACCCAAAAUGGUCUUGGCAACAUCACUACUCUGGCUGCUUGUGGAAGCAACAAGUGACUUCAUCUAACAUUCACUUGCGUAAGGCAGUUCCGAAGUGGGAACACUCACCUGCCCAUGACAGUUGCCAGGAGACCAGAGGCUCUGCUGGGGAAAUCCCUUGGUCUGCCAAAGCGUUUUUCUUUCCGCAUAAAAGGUCAGUCGGCUCCUAGGGGCAAGUGUGGAAUUACAGAAGGUGUCGAGGACUAAGCACAAGCCGGCUGCUAUCGGCUGCUUUCCAACAACGCUGUAAAGCUUCUCCUUGAGUCACGGCUCUUUUUUCAGACGUUCCAUAGCAGUUGGAGAACUCCAGAAGUGUGAGUCUCCGUUUCCGGUCCUGAGAGCUCACACACCACCUGGGAGCCUCCUGCCCCAGACACCGGCCUGGACAGGCCAGCCUCUCCCUCGAAGUCUCGAGAAGGGGUGGUUUCAGAAGGCUGCAGGUGUGUGCGGAGUUUGUCGCUGGGAUGGCGCGCUGGUGGGAAGACAGCCCACGGGUGUCGCCCUCCAUCAAGGUCAAGUUAUCCAGCCUGGCUCGUGCUGCCCGGAGUUUGCUACAUCUUGGUGCCCCCAGCCUAAAAUAGGCAAAAGCUAAAGAACAUGAAAAAGUGGAAGCAGUGACAGAUCUUAUUUUCCUGGGCUCCACAAUCAUUGCGGAUGGUGAUUGCAGCCAAGAAAUUAAAAGAUGCUUGCUCCUUGGAAGGAAAGCUAUGACAAACCUAGACAACAUAUUAAACAGCAGAGACAUCACUGUGCCUACAAAGAUUCAUAUCAUCAGAGCUAUGGUUUUUCCGGUAGUCAUGUACAGUUGUGAGAGUUGGACUGUGAAGAAGGCUGAGUGCUGAAGAAUCUAUGCUUUCUAAUUGUGGAGUUGGAAAAGACUCUUGAGAGUCCUUGAACAGCAAGAUUAAACCAGUCAAUCCUAAAGGAAAUCAACCUUGAAUAUUCGUUGAGAGGACUGAUGCUGAAGCUAAAAGCUCCAGUACUUUGACCACAUGAUGCAAAGAGCUGACUCAUUGGAAAAGACCCAGAUUCUGGGAAAGACUGGAGGCAAAAGGAGAAAAGGGCCGCAGAGGAUUAAAUGGUUAGUUAGAUAGCAUCACCGACUCAAUGGACAUGAAUUUGAGCAAACCCAAGGAGACAGUGGAGGACAGAGGAGCCUAGUGUGCUACAGUCCACGCAGCCACAAAGAGUCAGACUCAGCGACUGAAGAGCAACAACAGGAAUGAUGAACUGAAUGAGGUAGUCCUAGAGGUUAGCUAGGGCUCUGGAAAGUGCUCAAUUCUCUACUUCAACUUUCUGUAAGAAAUUUCAGCCCAGUUUAUGUGAAUAUCCUUCUUGUAACAACGAUGACCAAAACUUGGAUGAUGAAUCUGUAUACCUGUUCAUGCUAAGGUGUUCUUGGUUAUAUUUGUUUUGUUUCUGUUGAAGAACACAUCCAUGUUAUGAGAAAUUAAUAAAACCUGAAAAUAGUUUGAAUAUAAUGAGAAG